UGAGCAGGCGGUUUUGUAAGUCAGAUGUGAAAUCCCCGGGCUUAACCUGGGAACUGCGUUUGAAACUACAAGACUAGAGUGUAGCAGAGGGGGGUGGAAUUCCACGUGUAGCAGUGAAAUGCGUAGAUAUGUGGAAGAACACCGAUGGCGAAGGCAGCCCCCUGGGUUAACACUGACGCUCAGGCACGAAAGCGUGGGGAGCAAACAGGAUUAGAUACCCUGGUAGUCC
rnacentral:rRNA from 1 species